UACGUAGGGUGCGAGCGUUAAUCGGAAUUACUGGGCGUAAAGCGUGCGCAGGCGGAUGCUUAAGCCAGACGUGAAAUCCCCGGGCUUAACCUGGGAAUGGCGUUUGGAACUGGGCAUCUAGAGUGAGGCAGAGGGAACUGGAAUUCCAGGUGUAGCAGUGAAAUGCGUAGAUAUCUGGAGGAACACCGAUGGCGAAGGCAGGUUCCUGGGCCAUGACUGACGCUCAUGCACGAAAGCGUGGGGAGCAAACAGG
rnacentral:rRNA from 1 species